AGCCCACCAAUCGCAGACGCCGGCACCACCCUCUUCAUGCGGUUAUCAAUUUUCAGUGCACUGGCUCUGCCCCAGCGAAUCCCUCUCCACUUGAGCGUUCUCCUUCCCUCUUGUCAACCAAUUAGAUACGACAAGCCACUCAGUGUAGGCAAUGUUAUUUGCUUUUCAAGCAAACAAAAGUGACCUCCUAUGAACGAGGAGAGCGUUCGAUUGGUCUGUUCAGACAACCCUGCGGGUGACCGCCCGGUGCUUGCGUCGGUGGUUACGCAAAUUUGACAUCAGGAGAUUGGAAUAAAAACAUAUUGGAAUAGUUUUACGUUAUAGGGCCCAGUUCAUUGAUUUAGAGCAUCCUGCGGAAUAUUGAAGCGAUAUCAGCUAACACCAGGUCAUCGGGGAACCACUGCGUUAUCGUCGGCUGUACGAAUAACUAUAGAAAGAGGAAGCUGUUGGCUGAACAAACGUGCGACGUGCGUCAACAGCCACGGCGUGUUUGUGGUUGCGAACUCUUCAAGUUUCAUCGUUUUCCUGCUGACCCAGAGCAUCGGCGUUUGUGGAUUUCAAGCGUCAGCAGGAGGAACUUCCUACCGUCCGACAGUUCGCGGGUAUGCUCGGUACGCUUCGUUUCUGGCGAACGUACCGACAUGAACCCGACACUGAUGAGGAGCAUCGGCUAUGAGAGGAAGGUCAAAGUCGGGCGAUGACGCAUAGUGAGAGGCGACUUCGUGCCUACGAAGAGACGAAGGCUUUCUACAAAUGAAGUGGAGUCUGCACAGUUGGAGCCAUGCGCACAUAUUGUUUAUGCAAGUAAUCUCAUGUGCAACAGUACAAGCAUGCGCGCAAGAAAGGGCCAACUUUCUGAACAGGAAGUUACCUCAACUCGGCGCAUCGCAUCAGUACAAAUACAUGUGGAGCGAGCCAUAAACAGAAUGAAGACAUACAAAAUAUUUAAGUCUGCAUUGAGCAUCAAAUGCAAAGACACAAUUCAUAGUAUGAUCUUUGUGUGUGCAGGCCUCUGUAGUUUAAAGGCACCACUAAUUGCAGAGACCAAUGGUCGCACUAGCCAGGAAAUAUAAGCAGUUGUAUGAACAAAUAGUGCAACCCAGGAAAUUCUUUUUACGAGUGUUCAAGCCGCAGAAGUGAACACAUUGCAGAAGUUCAUAAUGGUGCACACAUGAAAAUGUUACUUUAUUAACUUGCAGUGUUUAUUGAUGAAAUAAUUGAAUGGGCCAUAUUAUGUACAAGUGUAGCAUAAAAACACGGGCAACACUGUAGCACAUAGAACACAAAAAACAACUAAUAUUGGAAAAAACUAUUCCACCGAUGCCUCUGGUAAAUAUGUGGCUCUCCUGUACCAGCACAAACACAAAUUUAUUGAAACAUCUGCACAGAAAAGGUUAUAAAAGAACUGGUAAAUGUACUUGAGUGUCAUAGCAACGAAAACGUGUUUAAAAUACAUAAUAUGAAAAUGUAUUCAUUUUCUUUAUUGAAGUGAAUGUUAGGAGAGGUUGGCGCCUUUAUGGUGGUACCGGCUACUCCUUGUCACUUGGCAAACGAAACAAAUUUGCGUAAAAAGGAAGAAUAGCGACGCAAAAUAUAACACUCAGUAGAACACCGGAUCAAUAAAAAAUAUACAGUCCAACAGUACAUGAGUCGUAAAGUUCUGUUCAUUAGUUCAGUCAGAUGUUUUGUCAGAUGUUUUGUCAGUUCAGUCAGAUGUUUUGUCAUAUAAAGUCAGAUGUUUUGAACAGCCAAAACACACAACACAUGUAAUACACUGCGAGUACAGAACAGAAUUAUACAUAUUGCGUAAAAGUUGCGAUCACCACAUAAACCAAUUAUGAACCACGAACAACGUUUAUGUAACUCAUCUAGCGUAUUCGGAUCAUCUGAUACUUAAUAUUUUCCCAAAAUGUUGGUGUCCUCUAAAAACUUUUUCAGAGCAAGAAGUGCUCUUUUCUGAAGGCCCGCAGUUGGCAAUGGGCUAAGUAUCUUUUUAAGAGUGAAUGGUCUUCUGUCUAAUAUAAACAAAUUAGCUUGCAGUACCGUUCUUUGUGUAUCGUAUUUCGUGCAUUCGAGAAGAAGAUGAAGCACAUGUUCGUCUGGAUGGCCACAAGAGCACUGCGGACUAGAGACACGUUUUAUUCUGUACAAGAAGUGUU